rnacentral:rRNA from 1 species
AUUGAACGCUGGCGGCAUGCCUUACACAUGCAAGUCGAACGGCAGCACGGGAGCAAUCCUGGUGGCGAGUGGCGAACGGGUGAGUAAAGUAUCGGAACGUGCCCAGUCGUGGGGGAUAACGUAGCGAAAGCUACGCUAAUACCGCAUACGAUCUAUGGAUGAAAGCGGGGGAUCGCAAGACCUCGCGCGAUUGGAGCGGCCGAUAUCAGAUUAGGUAGUUGGUGGGGUAAAGGCCCACCAAGCCGACGAUCUGUAGCUGGUCUGAGAGGACGACCAGCCACACUGGGACUGAGACACGGCCCAGACUCCUACGGGAGGCAGCAGUGGGGAAUUUUGGACAAUGGGCGCAAGCCUGAUCCAGCAAUGCCGCGUGCAGGAUGAAGGCCUUCGGGUUGUAAACUGCUUUUGUACGGAGCGAAAAGGCUCUCACUAAUACUGGGGGCUCAUGACGGUACCGUAAGAAUAAGCACCGGCUAACUACGUGCCAGCAGCCGCGGUAA